UACAGAGGGUGCGAGCGUUAAUCGGAAUUACUGGGCGUAAAGCGUGCGUAGACGGUUAUGUAAGUCGGGCGUGAAAGCCCCGGGCUCAACCUGGGAAUUGCAUUCGAGACUGCAUAGCUAGGGUGCGGAAGAGGGAAGCGGAAUUUCCGGUGUAGCGGUGAAAUGCGUAGAUAUCGGAAGGAACACCAGUGGCGAAAGCGGCUUCCUGGUCCAGCACCGACGUUCAGGCACGAAAGCGUGGGGAGCAAACAGG
rnacentral:rRNA from 1 species